rnacentral:rRNA from 1 species
AGAGUUUGAUCAUGGCUCAGGACGAACGCUGGCGGCGUGCUUAACACAUGCAAGUCUACUUGAACGCUCUGCUUGCAGAGAACUAUGGUGGCGAACGGGUGAGUAACGCGUAGACAAUCUGCCCCUUUCAGUGGGAUAAUCUCGGGAAACUGGGUCUAAUACCACAUAACAUCUUUUAACGGCAUCGUUUUAAGAUUAAAGAUUUCGAAUCGGUGAGGGAUGAGUCUGCGUACCAUUAGCUAGUUGGUGGGGUAAUGGCCUACCAAGGCAUCGAUGGUUAGCUGGUCUGAGAGGAUGAUCAGCCACACUGGGACUGAGAUACGGCCCAGACUCCUACGGGAGGCAGCAGUGAGGAAUAUUGCACAAUGGGGGCAACCCUGAUGCAGCAACGCCGCGUGUACGAUGAAUCAGUUUAUCUGUGUAAAGUACUGUUAAUUGGGACGAAUUACAUCUUUAGUAGAGAUGUUUGACUGUACCAGUAGAGGAAGCUCCGGCUAACUCCGUGCCAGCAGCCGCGGUAAUACGGGGGGAGCGAGCGUUGUCCGGAUUUAUUGGGC